rnacentral:rRNA from 1 species
AGUGAACGCUGGCGGUAGGCCUAACACAUGCAAGUCGAACGGCAGCACAGUAAGAGCUUGCUCUUACGGGUGGCGAGUGGCGGACGGGUGAGGAAUACAUCGGAAUCUACUUUUUCGUGGGGGCUAACGUAGGGGAACUUACGCUAAUACUGCAUACGACCUACGGGUGAAAGCAGGGGAUCUUCGGACCUUGCGCGAUUGAAUGAGCCGAUGUCGGAUUAGCUAGUUGGCGGGGUAAAGGCCCACCAAGGCGACGAUCCGUAGCUGGUCUGAGAGGAUGAUCAGCCACACUGGAACUGAGACACGGUCCAGACUCCUACGGGAGGCAGCAGUGGGGAAUAUUGGACAAUGGGCGCAAGCCUGAUCCAGCCAUACCGCGUGGGUGAAGAAGGCCUUCGGGUUGUAAAGCCCUUUUGUUGGGAAAGAAAAGCAGCAGGUUAAUACCCCGCUGUUCUGACGGUACCCAAAGAAUAAGCACCGGCUAACUUCGUG